rnacentral:lncRNA from 1 species
UAGGUUAAAAAAUAGGGGUGGUGAAUUUAUUUUUUAGAAUAGGGUUGUAAAAUUUACAGAUUUGAAUUCAAAAUGGGCUCUACUAUUCAUUAACUUUUCGGUCAUCACCAUCCCGGAUUCCGGCUAAGCUCCGGCAACUCUAAAACCCUCUUCUUUUUCCCCUUUUUCCGGUGAAAUGGUCACCGGAAACAACCCCAUUUCCCCUUUCCUCGUUUCCAGCAACUACCACCCAAAAACCCCACUCCAAAACAACCAUUUUUCCUUACCAGACCCACACAGCAGCAAACAACACACCAACAGACCCAAAACCAGCCAAACGAUCCCCACACUACCUAUUUUAUUCCUUUUCCAGAUCCACUGGCGAGCUCGAAGCUCGCCACCUCCAAACCACCCCGUUUCCCUCUCCCACCAGACCAAAACCCCCUUUAAGUCAAUCGCCACAGCCUCAUAAACCAGCAACCAAAGCUCCGAGCGGCCAUCCAAAACCCCGACCCAGACCAUCCCUUUUCAAUAAACUACAACAACCCAGUCGCUGCCAGUUCCCUUCCACGUCCCCUUUUACAUUUUCUUCUUUUUACAGGUAUUUUGGCUCAAAGUCGGUGAGCUCCGAUGAAAAAAUGAGUUCCCACCACUGCGAGCUUCAAGCUCCGCGAACAACCAGACACAACCAGCAAAACGCCAACCUCCGUAGCUCCGGCAAACAAGUAAUCCUCUAUGUUUUAUUUUUGUUGUAACUAUUUUACUUCGUUCAUUGCUUUUCCAGAUCUGGCCGGAGUUUGAUAAAGUUUGUCUUUUUCGAUUUGUUGUGUUGAUAUUAUACUGUGUUAUUUUGAUUUGAUUGUUUAUUCACAGCUUUUGUAUUGAUUUGCUGUUUGUUUACUCUUACAGUGGCUAUGCUUUGAAUUUUUUUUUAUUUAAAUUAAAUGUUUAAUGGUUAAAGAAUAUUUUCAAUUGUGAUUUCAUUCUCAACUUAUGGAUCUUUUAUUAGGAUAGUUACUUUCUCAUUAUUUUAUAUUGUUAAUUCGUUUUGACUUUAUUCAUUUGUUGACAUCGAGUUAUUUGUUUUAGUGUUAAUUUUGUUUUUAUUAUGAUUAUUUUAUUGAUUGUUCUUUUGUUCCGUAUGCUUAUCUUAUUUUUAAUUGUUGUCUAAUCUAUUAAUUUAAUAGUUUAAAUUAUAUUUGCUAUAUUUUGUUGGAUUUAAUAUUGUUAUUAAUAAUGGUGUUGCCUUCGGUAAAUUUUAUACUUUUCAUGUUACUGUUACUUUUUGUUAAUGUUAAGAUAAUAUUUUGUCAUUUUUUGUUAUUGUUAAUUGAUAUUGAAUAUAUUUUGUUUGUUCAAAAUGGCUAAUGAGAAAAUCUCUCUGUCGAGUUUGGAGGCCUUUACAUUGUAAAAGACGAAAAUUUAAUUUAAUUUCAUAUAUUUUGUUUGUUCAAAAUGGCCAAUGAGAAAAUCUCUCUGUCGAUUUUGGAGGCCUUUACAUUGUAAAAAACGAAAAUUUAGUUUAAUUUCAUAUAUUUUGUUUGUUCAAAAUGGCCAAUGAGAAAAUCUCUCUGUCGAUUUUGGAGGCCUUUACAUUGUAAAAAACGAAAAUUUAGUUUAAUUUCAUAUAUUUUGUUUGUUCAAAAUGGCCAAUGAGAAAAUCUCUCUGUCGAUUUUGGAGGCCUUUACAUUGUAAAAAACGAAAAUUUAGUUUAAUUUCAUAUAUUUUGUUUGUUCAAAAUGGCUGAUAAAGAAAUUACCGUCGAUUUCUAAGGUUUCCCAUGUUAAUAAGACGGUUUUUUAUUUUUAAAUUAAUUUUUGAUUCAUUUAUUUUUAUUCAUAACUAACACUUUUACUAAGUGUCUUUACAGGUACCCGGAGGUGCUUCCUAUUGAAGUUAUUCGAAUUAGGUUCGAAUUAUAUUCCUAUUUAUAUUGUAUAUUAUUGACGAUAGACAAAUUUAGGUCGAUUCCUAUAUUAUUGUUUUAUCAUAUUACUUGUGUAUAUUGCAUGUUUAUUAUAUUUGUACAUUAUUUUAUUUUCAUCCUCAAUUUGAAAAAAAUGAAUUCAGUCGAAACCCACAUUUGUGGAUUUCAAAG